rnacentral:rRNA from 1 species
AGAGUUUGAUCAUGGCUCAGGAUGAAUGCUAGCGGCAGGCUUAAUACAUGCAAGUCGAACGGCAGCGGGUCCAGCAAUGGAUGCCGGCGAGUGGCGCACGGGUGCGUAACACGUAUGCAACCUACCUUUAACCGGGACAUAACCUCGAGAAAUCGUGGCUAAUAUUCCAUAAUAUCUUUGAAUCGCAUGAUAUGAAGAUCAAAAUUCCGAUGGUUUUAGAUGGGCAUGCGCGACAUUAGCUAGUUGGUGAGAUAAAGGCUCACCAAGGCUACGAUGUUUAGGGGGUCUGAGAGGAUGAUCCCCCACACUGGUACUGAGACACGGACCAGACUCCUACGGGAGGCAGCAGUAGGGAAUAUUGGGCAAUGGGCGCAAGCCUGACCCAGCCAUGCCGCGUGCAGGAUGACAGCCUUACGGGUUGUAAACUGCUUUUAUACGGGAAAAAACCCUCUGACGUGUCAGAGGCUGAUGGUACCGUAAGAAUAAGCAUCGGCUAACUCCGUGCCAGCCGCCGCGGUAAUAC